rnacentral:rRNA from 1 species
AGUGAACGCUGGCGGUAGGCCUAACACAUGCAAGUCGAACGGCAGCACAGUAAGAGCCCGCUCUUACGGGUGGCGAGUGGUGGACGGGUGAGGAAUACAUCGGAAUCUACUUUUUCGAGGGGGAUAACGCAGGGAAACUUACGCCAAUACCGCAUCCGACCUACGGGUGAAAGCACGGGAUCUCCGGACCUUGCGCGAUUCAACGAGCCGAUGUCGGAUUAGCUAGUUGGCGGGGUAAAGGCCCACCAAGGCGACGAUCCGUAGCUGGUCUGAGAGGAUGAUCAGCCACACUGGAACUGAGACACGGUCCAGACUCCUACGGGAGGCAGCAGUGGGGAAUAUUGGACAAUGGGCGCAAGCCUGAUCCAGCCAUGCCGCGUGUGUGAAGCAGGCCUUCGGGUUGUAAAGCCCUUUUGUUGGGAAAGAAAAGCAGCGGGUUAAUACCCCGCUGUUCUGACGGUACCCGAAGAAUAAGCACCGGCUAACUUCGUG